rnacentral:lncRNA from 1 species
GAAGGAAGCAACCUGGAAACGCACAGUCACUAAGGAUCAGUGGGAGCAACCUCGUGGCCUGCCUUCUUGCGACAGCAGGGUGAGGAGCCCAGAAGCCUGCCCAGGCCCCUUACUGGUGAGUACUGGAUCUGUGUGGACUACACUGGACCCAGAAA